GUGCUCCCUUCAUCAGCGCAUAUGUUAAAACUGGAACAAUACAGAGAAGAUUAGCAUGGCUCCUGCAUAAGGAUGACGCACAAGUUCAUGAAGCUUUCCAUAUUUUU
ensembl:snRNA U6 U6 spliceosomal RNA